GUGAACGCUGGCGGUAGGCCUAACACAUGCAAGUCUAACGGCAGCACAGUAAGAGCUUGCUCUUACGGGUGGCGAGUGGCGGACGGGUGAGGAAUACAUCGGAAUCUACUUUUUCGUGGGGGAUAACGUAGGGAAACUUACGCUAAUACCGCAUACGACCUACGGGUGAAAGCAGGGGAUCUUCGGACCUUGCGCGAUUGAAUGAGCCGAUGUCGGAUUAGCUAGUUGGCGGGGUAAAGGCCCACCAAGGCGACGAUCCGUAGCUGGUCUGAGCGGAUGAUCAGCCACACUGGAACUGAGACACGGUCCAGACUCCUACGGGAGGCAGCAGUGGGGAAUAUUGGACAAUGGGCGCAAGCCUGAUCCAGCCAUACCGCGUGGGUGAAGAAGGCCUUCGGGUUGUAAAGCCCUUUUGUUGGGAAAGAAAAGCAGCAGGUUAAUACCCCGCUGUUCUGACGGUACCCAAAGAAUAAGCACCGGCUAACUUCGUG
rnacentral:rRNA from 1 species